CCUACGGGAGGCAGCAGUGGGGAAUAUUGGACAAUGGGCGCAAGCCUGAUCCAGCAAUUCCGCGUGAGCGAAGAAGGCCUUCGGGUUGUAAAGCUCUUUCGGCGGGGACGAUAAUGACGGUACCCGCAGAAGAAGCCCCGGCUAACUCCGUGCCAGCAGCCGCGGUAAU
rnacentral:rRNA from 1 species